GGGGAUGUAGCUUAGAUGGUAGAGUACUCGCUUAGCAUGCGAGAGGUAUGGGCAUUGAUACCCCGCACCUCUA
rnacentral:tRNA from 1 species